rnacentral:lncRNA from 1 species
CGGCCUCCACAGCUUUGUCGUGGCUUUUUCCCUCUUCCCAAUAUGUUAGAUGCCCUAAAAGAGACGUUUUUAGCUUAUAUAUUGCGUACAAAAGUCGUGGGCCAAAGUUCUCCUAUUCCUAAUCCAAAUCAGCUUCAGGGAUUGAUGCUAGGGUGGAUGCGUCGCAUCCACCUCGUCCUCCACUUCUCAGCUUCGCAUGCUAGGGUGGAUGCGCGCAUCCACCCUUUGUUCCUCCUUCUCAGCUUUGCCUAGGUGCGGAUGCUAUGGCGGAUGCUAUGGGCCGACUUCACUGCUAAGGGUUCACGAAAUCCAACCCCUCUUCCUCUACCUAGAGCACCUUUUCUUUAUAUUUUUGUACUCCAAACACCCUAAUUCAUCACACACAACUCAAUUAGUCAUAAAACCAAUAAUUAAACCAUGUUGGGCAUUUUAAAGAUCAAAUAGCAUCAAAAAGCGGUUAAAAUAUGGGUAAAGUAACAUCAACACAUAUCGAAAUAUGCCCAACAUCAUGUAUAUACAUAUAUUAGGUGUGCACGAUGGGUGACGGAUAAAUUAUUUUUACUCGAAGCAAACUCGCCCAGUAAUCUAUAUAUGUGAAUUCCCAACUGAGCAUUUAAUUUGGUUCUGAACACCGGGGACUAGAUCUUAUUAAACAAGUUAAACGUGGCCCUUUUGGUUGAAAACAAAUCACCGAUUGGAACUUUAAUGAGUUUCAUUUGAACUCCUAUUUAAUAUUAGGGUGAGUUAUUGAGACGUCAAUACCCUACUCAAGCUUUUAGUAUAAUUGACGAAACAUUUUUAGAAAGGCAUACAUUAUUAUGAAAAAUUAUCAUAUAUGGAAUGGGUAGUAUGAAUUGAAUAUGGAAUAAAUUGAGAAUAGAUGAUGUGAAAAAAAUAUUCGAUACAUAACUAUUCGACACGUUAGUACACAAAUUCAUUUUAUCUAAAAUAUCUUAUCCAACCACAGAAAAAAGCCUAAGCCUAUUUUGCUAACAUUAUGAUGUAACCAACACUUGUCUUAACAGAUGUUAAAAGCAGAAUGAAGAUCGAUGAUGCAAGAUGCAGCAUUAAGACAUGUGUCAUACAGUUAACCUUAGACCAGCGUAUUUAAACUGCCCUACAUAACGUCCUUUCCAUAAAUUGAACACAAAUAACUGUCUUCGAACAUUUGCAGAAUUUUUAUUUUUAAGAAUUGCAAAGAAGGAAAUUUAAGAGUAAAAGAGAGUGAAAAUGCAGUCCGUGAAGGAAAAA